rnacentral:rRNA from 1 species
CAGCCGCCGCGGGAAUACGGAGGGAGCUAGCGUUGUUCGGAAUUACUGGGCGUAAAGCGCGCGUAGGCGGUUACUCAAGUCAGAGGUGAAAGCCCGGGGCUCAACCCCGGAACUGCCUUUGAAACUAGGUGACUAGAAUCUUGGAGAGGUCAGUGGAAUUCCGAGUGUAGAGGUGAAAUUCGUAGAUAUUCGGAAGAACACCAGUGGCGAAGGCGACUGACUGGACAAGUAUUGACGCUGAGGUGCGAAAGCGUGGGGAGCAAACAGGAUUAGAUACCCCGGUAGUCCCUGUCUCUUAUAC